CCAGACUCCUACGGGAGGCAGCAGUCGGGAAUAUUGCGCAAUGGAGGAAACUCUGACGCAGUGACGCCGCGUGCAGGAAGAGGGUUUUCGGAUUGUAAACUGCUUUAGACAGGGAAGAAACAAGACAGUACCUGUAGAAUAAGCUCCGGCUAACUACGUGCCAGCAGCCGCGGUAAUACGUAGGGAGCAAGCGUUAUCCGGAUUUAUUGGGUGUAAAGGGUGCGUAGACGGGAAGGCAAGUUAGUUGUGAAAUCCCUCGGCUUAACUGAGGAACUGCAACUAAAACUAUCUUUCUUGAGUGCGGGAGAGGAAAGGGGAAUUCCUAGUGUAGCGGUGAAAUGCGUAGAUAUUAGGAGGAACACGAGUGGAGAAGGCGGCUUUCUGGACAGUAACUGACGUUGGGGCGCGAAAGUGUGGGGAGCAAACAGGAUUAGAUACCCCUGUA
rnacentral:rRNA from 1 species